CCGUCGGCCGCCCUGUCUCGGGGGCUCGAGCCGUGUCAGCGCUGGGAGGCCGGCGAGCGCCCGCCCGCCUCCGCCACCCCGGAGGCGGGAGGGGCGGGUCGCAGGCGAGCGCGCCGAUGGCGCCCUUAUCCUGGAUGUCCUUGCCGUGAUCGUGGGCCGCUGAGCCUCCAGAAGCCCCAGCACGUCUAGGGUCCCCCGCGUGCCUGGCAACGUGCCUGCGUCUCCUUCCUUCUCGGGGCCGCGAAGGUGAAGUUUCGCGCUGUGAGUCUGCACCGAGCUCCGGGUUGAACCCGGCCUCCCAGCGUUAAAAUAGUGCGGUGAUGAACACCAUUGAUGAUACGUCCUUGGAAGCGGCUGAGUAUUUCCUCAGGGUAAAUUCCUAGAAGACACCAUCGACCAAAGGCUAGCAUGCAUUUUGCCAAAAUGCCUUCCAGAAACGCCGCCAUGGUGCUGUCCGCCCUCGGGUGGGUGAGUGGGCCUGAACUGGGCCUUCCUUCUCUGCCGUCUCUGGCAGUCUCAUGGGAGUUAGCGAUGCUGUCAUAAUUAAAGACGCUCAAUUGAUCAUAAUUAAAGACGCUCAAUUGACAGAAGACACCAUUUCCCACUGGAGGAAGGUUGAUGGUCCCCAGUAGGAGGUCAACUUAUGCACCCGGUCCUGUCUGUGGAAUGUGAGAUGCUGGAUCACACUUCAAGGAAUCCAUCCUGAGGUCCUGCUCACUGUGCGUCCAGGCGCGUCUCUACAAAGACUGUUCUUCGCUUCUCAAAGCAAAAAACCGGAAACGACCAAAUUGAGGGGGACUGUGAAAAAUGAUGUCACAUCUACGCCCGGCUGAGCCUCUGGUGGAAAGAAUGAGGUCUGUCUGGGCCCACUGGGAGCAGGUCACGGAAAGCCUCAUCCAGGUAUGCUCUCAGUGGGGGUGGUGGGGUAUCAUGUGACCUGCUCUCUGGCCAAUGGAUGCACAGAUUCAUUGUCCUGUCUGGGCCUGAGAGCAGCCCUCUGAGGAGUGGCCUGGGGUGGGGGUCGGCAAGGAGGUGUUUUAUUGUUCCUUUUAUACUGUUUCAGUUUUUAAAAUCAUGAGCAUUGCUUUUGUAUGUAAAAAAAGGAACUCUCAUGAAAUGUUUAAUGGGAAUGUUAAUAUAUGAAUGUUAAUGUAUGCAAAUGAAGUUAUAUGCAUAUUGCACCCAGAGCCAGGGGAAAAUAAAUGCUGACUCGAUGGGA